ACAGCUCAAAUUUGAAAUCUGGCCGCAAGGUCCGAGUUGUAAUUUGUAGAGGAUGCUUUUGGCGAGGUGACUUCCGAGUUCCCUGGAACGGGACGCCAUAGAGGGUGAGAGCCCCGUACGGUCGUGCCACCGAGCCUCUGUAAAGCUCCUUCGACGAGUCGAGUAGUUUGGGAAUGCUGCUCUAAAUGGGAGGUGUACGUCUUCUAAAGCUAAAUACCGGCCAGAGACCGAUAGCGCACAAGUAGAGUGAUCGAAAGAUGAAAAGCACUUUGAAAAGAGGGUUAAAAAGUACGUGAAAUUGUUGAAAGGGAAGCAUUCAUGACCAGACUUGGGCUUGGUUGAACAUCCGGCGUUCUCGCCGGUGCACUCUGCCAGCUCAGGCCAGCAUCAGUUUGCCCCGGGGGACAAAGGCGGCGGGAAUGUGGCUCCCUACGGGGAGUGUUAUAGCCCGUCGUGUAAUGCCCUGGGGUGGACUGAGGUUCGCGCUUCGGCACGGAUGCUGGCGUAAUGGUCAUCAAUGACCCGUCUUGAAACACGGACCAAGGAGUCGUCUUCGUAUGCGAGUGUUCGGGUGUCAAACCCCUACGCGUAAUGAAAGUGAACGUAGGUGAGAGCUUCGGCGCAUCACCGACCGAUCCUGAUGUUCUCGGAUGGAUUUGAGUAAGAGCAUACGGGGCCGGACCCGAAAGAAGGUGAACUAUGCCUGUAUAGGGUGAAGCCAGAGGAAACUCUGGUGGAGGCUCGCAGCGGUUCUGACGUGCAAAUCGA
rnacentral:rRNA from 1 species